CCUCCUCGAUCUGCUGCGGGCAGAUGAAGUGGAUGUGGCUGUCGACGCCGCCGGCGGUGACGAUCAUCCCCUCGCCGGCGAUGAUCUCGGUGCCCGGGCCGAUGACGAUGUCGACGCCGUUCAUCACGUCGGGGUUGCCGGCCUUGCCGAUCGCCGCGAUGCGGCAGCCCUUCAGGCCGAUGUCGGCCUUGACGAUGCCCCAGUGGUCGACGAUCAGCGCGUUCGUGAUCACGCAGUCGGCCGCCUCGUGGUGGCCGGGGCCGUUGACGACCUGGCUCUGUCCCAUGCCGUCGCGGAUG
rnacentral:sRNA from 1 species